GAUGAACGCUGGCGGCGUGCUUAAUACAUGCAAGUCGAGCGAACGGACCCGACUUUUGCGGGUGUCCGGGUGGCGGAAGGGGGGGGAAAAACACGUGGAUCCCCCCCUUAUAUUAGGGGUAUCUCUGGGAAAAGGGGGAGCUAACCGCGGAGAAUCUCUUGAGCCGUGUGGUGGAUAGGAAAGUUUCGGCGGUGGGGGCUGGACUCGCGGCUUACGCGCUUGUUGGGGGGGUAGGGGCUUACCAGGGUUUUGACGGGUAGCCGGCCUGAGAGGGUGACCGGCCACAUGGGGACUGAGGUACGGCCCAGACGCCUACGGGAGGCAGCAGUGGGGAAUAUGGCACAGUGGGCGGAAGCCUGAUGCAGCAACGCCGCGUGCGGGAUGACGGCCUUCGGGUUGUGAACCGCUUUCGCCUGUGACGAAGCGUGAGUGACGGUAAUGGGUAAAGAAGCACCGGCUAACUACGUG
rnacentral:rRNA from 1 species